GACGGGGGGUCCAAGCGUUGUUCGGAAUCAUUGGGCGUAAAGCGUGUGCAGGUGGUUUUGUAAGUUGGAUGUGAAAGCCCCGGGCUUAACCCGGGAAGUGCAUUCAAAACUGCAAAACUUGAGUAUGGAAGAGGGUCGUGGAAUUCCUGGUGUAGUGGUGAAAUACGUAGAUAUCAGGAGGAACACCGGUGGCGAAGGCGGCGACCUGGUCCUAUACUGACGCUGAGGUGCGAAAGCGUGGGGAGCAAACAGG
rnacentral:rRNA from 1 species